UCGGUGGUAGUAUAGUGGUUAGUAUGUGCGUUUCCCAUCAAAUGGCCCUCUUCCGAGGGAAAUUACGCACGACGUGGGUUCGAUUCCCGCCCAUCGAA